rnacentral:rRNA from 1 species
UACGUAGGGGGCAAGCGUUGUCCGGAAUCAUUGGGCGUAAAGAGCGUGUAUGCGGCCCGAUUAGUCCGCUGUGAAAGUCGAGGGCUCAACCCUCGAAUGCCGGCGGAUACUGUCGGGCUAGAGUCCGGAAGAGGCGAGUGGAAUUCCUGGUGUAGCGGUGAAAUGCGCAGAUAUCAGGAGGAACACCGAUGGCGAAGGCAGCUCGCUGGGACGGUACUGACGCUGAGACGCGAAAGCGUGGGGAGCAAACAGG